rnacentral:rRNA from 1 species
CCCUUAGAUGUUCUGGGCCGCACGCGCGCUACACUGACGAAGUCAGCGAGCAUCUCCUACGCCGAAAGGUGCGGGGAAUCUUGUGAAACUUUGUCGUGCUGGGGAUUGAUUUUUGAAAUUAUUAAUCUUCAACGAGGAAUGCCUAGUAGGCGCAAGUCAUCAGCUUGCGUCGAUUACGUCCCUGCCCUUUGUACACACCGCCCGUCGCUCCUACCGAUUGGGUGUGCUGGUGAAAUGUUCGGAUCGGCCGUUUGUCGCGGUUUCCGCGUCAUGUGGCUGAGAAGUUCAUUAAACCCUCCCACCUAGAGGAAGGAGAAGUCGUAACA